rnacentral:rRNA from 1 species
UACGUAGGGUCCAAGCGUUAUCCGGAAUCACUGGGCGUAAAGAGAGCGUAGGCGGGUAGUUAAGUGAGAUAUGAAAGCGUGUGGCUCAACCAUACAACCGUAUCUCAUACUGGCUACCUAGAGGAUGGCAGAGGCAAGUGGAAUUACCGGUGUAGCAGUGAAAUGCGUAGAGAUCGGUAGGAACACCAAUGGCGAAGGCAGCUUGCUGGGCCAUUUCUGACGCUAAGGCUCGAAAGCGUGGGGAGCGAACAGG